rnacentral:rRNA from 1 species
UAGUGGCGAACGGGUGAGUAACACGUAGAUAACCCUGCCCCUUACUUCGAGGAUAACACCUGGAAACGGGAGCUAAUACUGGAUAGGAUAAUUUAAGGCAUCUUUAGAUUAUUUAAAGAUUAAUCGAGUAAGGAGGGGUCUGCGGCGCAUUAGUUAGAUGGCGGAGUAAUAGCCCACCAUGACGAUGAUGCGUAGCCGGACUGAGAGGUCUAACGGCCACAUUGGGACUGAGAACGGCCCAAACUCCUACGGGAGGCAGCAGUAGGGAAUUUUCGGCAAUGGGGGGAACCCUGACCGAGCAACGCCGCGUGAAUGACGAAGUUCUUCGGAAUGUAAAGUUCUUUUUUACGGGAAGAAAAAUAACCAAAUUGACGGUACCGUAAGAAUAAGCCCCGGCUAACUAUGUGCCAGCAGCCGCGGUAAUACAUAGGGGGCGAGCGUUAUCCGGAUUUACUGGGCGUAAAGGGUGCGUAGGUUGUUAUUUAAGUUUCUGGUGUAAGUGCAGUGCUCAACGCUGUGAUGCUAGGAAAACUGGAUAGCUAGAGUAAGACAGAGGCAAGUGGAAUUCCAUGUGUAGCGGUAAAAUGCGUAAAUAUAUGGAGGAACACCAGUGGCGAAGGCGGCUUGCUGGGUCUUUACUGACGCUGAUGCACGAAAGCGUGGGGAGCAAACAGGAUUAGAU